GAUGAACGCUGGCGGCGUGCCUAAUACAUGCAAGUCGAGCGAACAGACUAUGAGCUUGCUCCUCUGACGUUAGCGGCUGACUUGUGAGUAACACGUUGAUAACCUACCUAUAAGACUGGGAUAACUUCGUGAAACCGGAGCUCAUACCGUAUAAUCUCUUUAACCUCAUUGUUCAAUAGUGAAAGACGGUUUUGCUGUCACUUAUAGCUGGCUCCGCGCCGCAUUUUAUAUUUGGUAAGGUAACGGCUUACCAAGGCAACGAUGCGUAGCCGACCUGAGAGGGGGAUCGGCAACACUGGAACUGAGACACGGCCAAGACUCCUAGGGGAGGCAGCAGAAGGGAAUCUUCCGAAAUGGGCGAAAGCUUGACGGAGAAACGCCGCGGGAGUGAGGAAGGUCUUCGGAUCGUAAAACUCUGUUAUUAGGGAAGAACAAAUGUGUAAGUAACUAUGCACGUCUUGACGGUACCUAAUCAGAAAGCCACGGCUAACUACGUG
rnacentral:rRNA from 1 species